UGUAAAUAGCGUUAUAUAGCUGGAAUUAUAUGCAUAUAGUGCACAGUUGUCUUUCUAUUUUCUAUAUAUUACUAGGGUUGAAGCUGAAAUCUAUAAUGAAAUUGUUAUUGGCAGCAUUGUAUGUCUUUGAUUUAUUAACUGUUUCGUAUUGUCAAUGUGGUCCAUGUUUUCCUGCCCAUUUGCAAGACAUGUUUUGUUCAGCUGGACAUGUAAUCCUUGCACUUCCGACAAAAGUGACGUCUAAAAUAGUAAAAGGCGGGACAGAUACGUUCUAUCGUUCAUUGGUGGUACAAGUUCUGAAG